UCCCUGGUGGUCCAGUGGUUGGGACUUGGAGCUUUCACUGCUGUAGCCCCAGGUUUGAUUCCUGGUUGGGGAA
rnacentral:tRNA from 1 species